AUGAACGCUGGCGGCGUGCCUAAUACAUGCAAGUCGAGCGAACGGACGAGAAGCUUGCUUCUCUGAUGUUAGCGGCGGACGGGUGAGUAACACGUGGAUAACCUACCUAUAAGACUGGGAUAACUUCGGGAAACCGGAGCUAAUACCGGAUAAUAUUUUGAACCGCAUGGUUCAAAAGUGAAAGACGGUCUUGCUGUCACUUAUAGAUGGAUCCGCGCUGCAUUAGCUAGUUGGUAAGGUAACGGCUUACCAAGGCAACGAUGCAUAGCCGACCUGAGAGGGUGAUCGGCCACACUGGAACUGAGACACGGUCCAGACUCCUACGGGAGGCAGCAGUAGGGAAUCUUCCGCAAUGGGCGAAAGCCUGACGGAGCAACGCCGCGUGAGUGAUGAAGGUCUUCGGAUCGUAAAACUCUGUUAUUAGGGAAGAACAUAUGUGUAAGUAACUGUGCACAUCUUGACGGUACCUAAUCAGAAAGCCACGGCUACUACGUG
rnacentral:rRNA from 1 species